UUCGGAGAACCUAUUCAGUUGGAAUUACAAUGUAAUUCGAUCCUUCUCUAAAACAAUAAUCUCAAUCACAUCAUUGGGGUAUGGAUAUAUUAUGUCAAACCCCUAAUGUGAUUACUCCUUCUUAUAUGAUUCAAUUGAGUCGUAUAGGAACGCUUUCCUUUAUUACGCUCGAUACUUCGACCGAAGAUUCCAGAAUCAUAUCUUAGAGUAUUCUUCCUCUCUUAACGAAGAUUAGAGAUUCCUUGUUGCGCAUUCACUUGCCUUCAUGACUAAGUGGCUUAACCCCAACUAUGUCGUGGACACCCGCGAAUGGGGUGACUUUGA
rnacentral:lncRNA from 1 species